rnacentral:rRNA from 1 species
UACGUAGGGGGCAAGCGUUGUCCGGAAUCAUUGGGCGUAAAGCGCGUGUAGGCGGCUAGGUAAGUCUGCUCUGAAAGCCCGGGGCUCAACCCCGGGAGGCGGGUGGAUACUGUCUAGCUCGAGUCCGGAAGAGGAGUGUGGAAUUCCUGGUGUAGCGGUGAAAUGCGCAGAUAUCAGGAGGAACACCGGUGGCGAAGGCGGGUCUCUGGGCAGUAACUGACGCUGAGGAGCGAAAGCGUGGGUAGCGAACAGG